UACUGCGUAUCCCCGCUUUAUCCGGAUUUAUUGGGUUUAAAGGGUGCGCAGGCGGGAUAAUAAGUCAGUGGUGAAAGUUUGCAGCUUAACUGUAAAAUUGCCGUUGAAACUGUUAUUCUUGAGUGCAGACAAGGUAGGCGGAAUGUAUUGUGUAGCGGUGAAAUGCUUAGAUAUAAUACAGAACCCCGAUUGCGAAGGCAGCUUACCGGACUGUAACUGACGCUCAGGCACGAAAGCGGGGGGAUCAAACAGGAGGAGAAAACCGAGUAGUCC
rnacentral:rRNA from 1 species